rnacentral:lncRNA from 1 species
AGGCCUGUUCCCUGGCUUGAUGUUUGUGUUCCUGGCCGUUGUCCAGCCCUGGAGAUGCAGCUCCCCCCAACCUAGUCUGCCCUCCUGGACUCACCAGAGGGAACCAGUGAGACAGCAUGGAAGGUCCCAUCUGCAGAUCUUGGUCAAAUCACAGACUAUUGAACCUCUUCUGAGACAUGGAUCAGCCCAUCUAUUGCUUUGAUAGCUGUUAACGCACCACACUUACCCUCUGCAUGGAUUGAGAGCCUUCGCCCAUUUCUCAGCUUGAAGCAGCUUAGAUUGAGACCAUCGCCUCUACUCCUGAUAAUGGAAUCCCUCGCUGAGACUGCUGCCUGCCCAUGCCUGACCUGUGCCAAGGCGAACCCCACCCACCCCCCACUGUGCCUGCCCUGCGCCCCCCCGAGGACUCACACCGGGCCACACUGGGAAGUCAAUUUCACAAACAUGGAAGUUCGGGUUCAAGGACAGCAUUUUCUUUCUCUUUAUGUUGACACCUUCUCAGGUUGGCCUGAAGCCUUUCCUGUAAACUCUGAAUCUGCUUUGGU